rnacentral:sRNA from 12 species
GGCUGCAACAUCCCCGUGGAAGGGGAUUCUUCUGACGCAUUCGGCGGCAACGCCAGGCAAAUCGGCGGAAUCAGCGCAUCCACUGCAGAC